UUAGCUAGGGAUACUUAGUACGGCGAGUGAGCGGUAAAAGCUCAAAUUUGAAAUCUGGUACUUUCAGUGCCCGAGUUGUAAUUUGUAGAAUUUGUCUUUGAUUAGGUCCUUGUCUAUGUUCCUUGGAACAGGACGUCAUAGAGGGUGAGAAUCCCGUUUGGCGAGGAUACCUUUUCUCUGUAAGACUUUUUCGAAGAGUCGAGUUGUUUGGGAAUGCAGCUCAAAGUGGGUGGUAAAUUCCAUCUAAAGCUAAAUAUUGGCGAGAGACCGAUAGCGAACAAGUACAGUGAUGGAAAGAUGAAAAGAACUUUGAAAAGAGAGUGAAAAAGUACGUGAAAUUGUUGAAAGGGAAGGGCAUUUGAUCAGACAUGGUGUUUUUUGCAUGCACUCGCCUCUCGUGGGCUUGGGCCUCUCAAAAAUUUCACUGGGCCAACAUCAAUUCUGGCAGCAGGAUAAAUCAUUAAGAAUGUAGCUACUUCGGUAGUGUUAUAGCUUUUUGGAAUACUGUUAGCCGGGAUUGAGGACUGCGCUUCGGCAAGGAUGUUGGCAUAAUGGUUAAAUGCCGCCCGUCUUGAACCCACGGACCA
rnacentral:rRNA from 1 species